GUUCUGGAACCCUGGUGGGUGUGGCUCUACCUCAGUGAAGUCAGUCUCACUGCAUGAGUUUGUGUUAGCAGUGGGGUGCUUUUGCACCUCUGUUCUUGUUGUGACCUUGUUUGCUCUUGUAGAUACUGCAGCAUUUUGUGACAGGUUGGAGAACAGCUGGUGUCUGGAAGAGCACUCCCGAGCCCCCUGCCCAUGAGGAUCUGGUCUGGGGAGAAUUACAUACCUGUCACAGGAGCGUUUCUCAAGCUUUCUCUACAUAAAAGGAAGAAACGUCUUUGCCACGGAGCAGGUAGGCAAACUUUGUUGUGUUAACAUAUAUAACGACACGUGUAGGGCAAUGUAAUGAACAUAUACAUAUUAAAGUCCCAUCCAAAUGGGGAGAACAAAACCUUAAAAGGAUCGGGAAAGCCUAGCUCAGCGAUAUACAUGUUAAACACCCUGGCUGGAUUCAAACCGCGGUCUCCCACGGGAGUGAAUGUGUCUUUAACCGCGUGGAAUGUGCUUUUACAACACUUUCUUGCUACAUGUAUUAACAUCGCGCCACGUUUGAAUAUUUACUUUCUUAUUAAGUUUCCCUUAGUCACAAAUAUAAUCUAUGAAAUGUAUGGCUUUUGACACAGGUCGUUUUAACAGCUUAUUGGUCAGUAUAAUAGGCUUAAUAGUAUUUAACUUGAACUUAACAAAGCUAUUUCAUGGCGCAAAAUAGUAAGUUUUUCAUUCAUUCUUGAAUGACAUUGAUACAAUAAGUAUCAAAAUAGGUGACGAUAACUGACGUUUUCAUCAAGGUAAAAGAAGAGAGAACUAUUUUACUGCCAAAGGAUCUAGUCUAUAUUACCGCAAAAAGCAUUCACAGAGGCGUACUUCGAACUGUGAACCGUUUUAUUUUAGGCUUACUAUAACGUCUCUAACCACUACGCUAUUUAACAAGGGGUAGAUCGGUCAGUCACUCAAUCAGACAGUCAAUAAGAGACAUUCACUCUCCCCGGCCAGUGCAAAAACAACUGUGUAGAGAUGCCUAGAGGCCUCUCCUGCUAUGUCCUGACUAUGGCCCCCAGCCCAGUGCAGAGAUAGCUUGGGGCAUAGCCAGGACCUGACACUUUCAGUUUCAUUCUUAUUAAUGGGGAAUUUUCCCCCAUUUCAUUCCAUAUGAUGAAAUGGGGAAAAAUGUGUGAAUGGCCCAUUCCGAUUAAAUGUUUGAUAACCUGUAUUUGUUUGUGCAGGAAGUCCAUCUACAGACACUGUGUGUACUAACUGUACUGGUGACACCUAUUCAGGUGGAUCAUUUACAUCCUGUCAACCACACACACAGUAAGGGCAAAAUAUACAUGCAAUUCUACAAUAAUAAACCCACAGAAAUGUAAUAAUAAUAAUAAUACAUUGAAUUUAUAUAGUGCUUUUCUUAGAUUCAAAGUCGUUUUACAGGGGAGGUAGAUUAUAAAAACAGAACAAAACAAAACAAACAAAACAAGAUUCAGGCACAGAUGAGAAGGGAGGGGGGUGUGGGGCUACGGAUAGGCAGAGGUGAAGAGAUGGGUCUUGAGGUGGGACUGGAAGAUGGUAAGGGACUCAGAGGUGCGGAUCUCUUGGGGGGAGGGAGUUCCAGAGCCUGGGAGCUGCCCUGGAGAAGGCUCUGUCCCCAAAACUGCGGAGGGUGGAUUUUUGGAUGGAGAGGAGACCAGCUGAGGUGGAUCUGAGGGACCGUGAGGGUUGGUACGGGGAGAGGAGGUCAGUGAGGUAUGAGGGGGCCAGAUGGUGGAGGGCUUUGUAGGUGAUCCGGUGGGAGAUAGAAAGCCAGUGGAGUUGUUUUAGGACUGGAGUGAUGUGGUGCCAGGAUUUGGAGCGGGUGAUGAGUCGGGCUGCUGCGUUUUGGACCAGUUGGAGUCGGUUGAUGUUGGUAGAGCUGAUGCCGAGUAGAAGUGAGUUGCAGUAGUCCAGUCGGGAGGAGAUGAAGGUGUGAAUGAGUCUUUCAGCAGCGGGGGGUGUGAGAGAGGGUCUGAUUUUGGCGAUGUUGCGGAGGUGAAAGAAGGAGGUUUUAAUGACUUGACGGAUGUGAGGCUCAAGGGAGAGGGUAGAAUCAAAGAUAACACCAAGGUUGCGGGCCUGGGGAGAUGGGGAGACAAUGGUGCCAUCGAUGGUGAGAGUGGGGUUAUUGGUUUUGCUGAGUGUGGAUUUGGAGCCUAUGAGGAGAAAUUCUGUUUUGUCG
ensembl:lncRNA